GCACCACCUGCAUCUAUAGUAAAUGAUUCAGCCGAAGGAGCACUUUCUUCAACUCCACCACAGGCCUUGAGCCCGACUGGUACAUCUACACCCUCCAGAGAUUUUUCUGAAUCAUUCCCAUCACCAAAGUCACCUAUGGGAUUUCCCAGCCAUUUUGAAGCCUUGAUAAAACAAGGGAUUCAAAUGACUCCCCUCACUCCAGUCAUGUCAAGACCAAGACUUUCAUCCCCGAAGAAGUAUCAUGCCCCUCCCCCACCUCCGAUUUCCAGCAGCUUCACUGCUGCUGUCUAGGACAUUAAGGGCCUCUGCGUUGCUACCAUGCAUAGCAAACUCAAAACCAACCAGAGGUCCAUAGAGGGAGUGUGUUCUUCUGAAACAAUUAGUACAGUCAAACAACAUAGAUUAGAUAAGAGGGCAACAGUCAGACCGUCCAAUCAAAGAACUCUAAUCCAUAUCCCUUGCAAAAAGAUUCCAUCCACUCAAACACAGAUAAAUCUCAAACAUGCUGUACUCAAUGCCAGAUCGUUAAAAAACAAGUCCUUUUUAAUAAAUAGUUUUAUUUCUUCUUAUAAUCUAGAUUUUAUGUUUUUAACUGAAACAUGGCUUGACAAAAACACUGGUAACGCAGUUUUGAUUGAGUGUAGUCCAUCAAAUUUCAAUUUUGUGUCUGAAACACGCCAAAAUCAGAGGGGCGGGGGUGUCUGUGCAAUAUUCAGGGAAAAUAUAGUCAUCCACAAAUUGUCAUUUGGGGUUUUUCUAUCAUUUGAGUAUGUGUCUUUCAAAAUGGAGAUAAAACAAUCUUCCAUUCUUUAUAUGACUAUUUACAAACCACCACAGAAUUGUUUUAUCGAAGACUUCACUGAAUUACUUUCAUUUAUAUGCACUGAUUUUGAUUGUUUGGUCAUUUCAGGUGAUUUUAAUGUGCAUGUGGAUGUGACCAAUGACAGGCAUGCAAAAGAACUUAAUGCUGUUCUUGAAAUGUUUGGUUUAACUCAGCACGUGAGUGAGGCGACCCACAACAAAGGUCACACUCUAGAUUUAGUUAUUACAAAAGGUGUUAAUAUAUCAAAUGUGAAUGUUGUUGAUGUUGCUUUAUCUGAUCAUUUUUGUGUCUUUUUUGACUUGUCUGUUACACCAAAACCAGUGGUUGGGCCUGGAGUUAUUCAAAGAAGACACAUAAAUGAUACAACAAGGACACAGUUUAUGGAAAUGAUCAGAUUUGAAAAUCCUCCAUGUUCAAAUGUUGAUAAUCUGUUGGACUCUUAUACAUCAAGCGUCUUAAAUGUUUUGGAUACUAUUGCUCCUGUCAAGGUAAAAAUGGUUAACAAUAGACAAAAGGCACCUUGGAGAAGUGAAGAUUCGGUCAGGGCACAGAAAAGGGAGUGCCGAAAAGCCGAAAGGAAAUGGCGCAAGUCAAAGCUCCAGGUUCAUUGUGAGAUAUACAAAGAAGUGCUUUGUGAGUUCAACCAGAUUUUGCGUGGAGAAAGGGAGAAAUACUUCUCUAAAAUCAUCGCAAACUGUAGAAACAAUUCUCGUGUUCUGUUUUCCACAGUAAACAGAUUAACUAACCCUCCAGUUUCACUGCCCUUAGAACUAAUCUCUACAUCUAAGUGCAAUGAGUUUGCAAUAUUUUUUUAUGAUAAAGUCCAAGGCAUAAAAAAUGCCAUAAUUUCCACAACACAAAUACCAACCCUGCCACCAGCUAGACACCUUGAGCUGACGCAUUUCACUCCUGUUAC
ensembl:lncRNA